GCCUGGGUGGCUGAGUCGGUUAAGUGUCUGCCUUCGACUCAGGUCAUGAUCCCAGGGACGUGGGAUCGAGUCCCACAUCAGGCU
rnacentral:tRNA from 1 species